rnacentral:rRNA from 1 species
AGCGAACGCUGGCGGCAGGCCUAACACAUGCAAGUCGAACGGAUCCUUCGGGAUUAGUGGCGGACGGGUGAGUAACACGUGGGAACGUGCCCUUUGGUUCGGAACAACUCAGGGAAACUUGAGCUAAUACCGGAUGUGCCCUUCGGGGGAAAGAUUUAUCGCCAUUGGAGCGGCCCGCGUCUGAUUAGCUAGUUGGUGGGGUAAGGGCCCACCAAGGCGACGAUCAGUAGCUGGUCUGAGAGGAUGUUCAGCCACAUUGGGACUGAGACACGGCCCAAACUCCUACGGGAGGCAGCAGUGGGGAAUCUUGCGCAAUGGGCGAAAGCCUGACGCAGCCAUGCCGCGUGAAUGAUGAAGGUCUUAGGAUUGUAAAAUUCUUUCACCGGGGACGAUAAUGACGGUACCCGGAGAAGAAGCACCGGCUAACUUCGUGCCAGCCGCCGCGGUAA